GUAACAAGGUCUCCGUAGGUGAACCUGCGGAGGGAUCAUUACACAAAUAUGAAGGCGGGCUGGAACCUCUCGGGGUUACAGCCUUGCUGAAUUAUUCACCCUUGUCUUUUGCGUACUUCUUGUUUCCUUGGUGGGUUCGCCCACCACUAGGACAAACAUAAACCUUUUGUAAUUGCAAUCAGCGUCAGUAACAAAUUAAUAAUUACAACUUUCAACAACGGAUCUCUUGGUUCUGGCAUCGAUGAAGAACGCAGCGAAAUGCGAUAAGUAGUGUGAAUUGCAGAAUUCAGUGAAUCAUCGAAUCUUUGAACGCACAUUGCGCCCUUUGGUAUUCCAAAGGGCAUGCCUGUUCGAGCGUCAUUUGUACCCUCAAGCUUUGCUUGGUGUUGGGCGUCUUGUCUCUAGCUUUGCUGGAGACUCGCCUUAAAGUAAUUGGCAGCCGGCCUACUGGUUUCGGAGCGCAGCACAAGUCGCACUCUCUAUCAGCAAAGGUCUAGCAUCCAUUAAGCCUUUUUUUCAACUUUUGACCUCGGAUCAGGUAGGGAUACCCGCUGAACUUAAG
rnacentral:rRNA from 1 species